CAUUCCUACCCCAACAGUCAAACCUAGAGUAAAGGAAUAUUGGAAGUUGAACCCAUGAUGUCUUAGAGGUUUACAAAUGGAUUGUACUCAGUCACAUCUGAGCACCAUGGCAGACCACCCACCUGCAGGAUCAGUACACCUGCCUUAAAAAACCAACUGCAAUGAAAUACUUUUGAAUGGAGAAGCAUCUGGAAAUUGAGGAUAUCAGAGAAACUGCUUGCUGGUGCAGAGAGGAGACCAAUUACGCCUGAGGAAACAGAACCCGCAAAUAACCAAAUGACUGCUCUGUGGGAACCCCAGGCUAACCACAAUUUUCAUGAGGGUCAAGAAUGGGAAUCUAACCACCCAACCUAAGAUUCUCAUCUAUAAAGAGGCCACCCCACCUUACCAGCUGAGGUCACCAUCUUGAACUCAUAAAGGUUCAGAAGAGAACACAAGCCCUGUUUUCGGGUCAAGAGCUUUGGAAUCAGUCACACUUGAAUAAAAAUUCAAAUGCUUUUACUAGUUAUUAGACCUCGUGUGAUUGUCUUACUUCCCCAGAUAUAAGAAAUUGUUGUAAAACAUACCACACAUGUACCAAAAAUGCUUGGCAUCAUGUACUGUAUAUAGUAUAUUUCCAAACUGGUAGUUUUGUUAUUUGUCC
ensembl:lncRNA